UGAGGCAUAACAGAAGACCAUUAGCUCCAGGUUCUUUUACAAAAGAAAAAAAUUCCCUUUCCUCCAAAAAAAUACUCAAAAGCCCCAAAGCAUAGCAGAACCUUGAGAGACAGAGAUACACAUACUAGGAAGCAUCAGAACAUUGAAAACCAGCUGUUAUUACAUUCUAAUGGGAAAAAUCCAAAUCAUUUGAAAGGAAGGGAUGAAUAUGCAGGUGGAUUAUCCAGGCUUACAUGGAUACAAGUAUCAGAGCAGCAUAGAACUGAGAAAAUCUUGAAGUCUUCUUUGGUAUUCAGCACUAUUUCAUGACAGACUCUCAUUUCAAAUGGUGUGUUAAGGACAACUGAUCUAGCACGUAGGGGUAACCUAAAUACUAAGUCAUCUAAAAAUAUUAUUUCCACUUUUAUUGGUGAUUAUAAAAGAUCAGAAUAUGCACUAUCUCUCAGUCAACCAUACGUUCAUUAGAAUUCAGAAUGAAAAAUAAGAUCUGUAUUCUCUGAAAGAAAAAUGAAAAUUAUGCAAGGAAAUCACUAAGAAACAAAGAAACUUCUGAGAAAUAUCUCGUUGGUCUUUGGAAGUAUUUAUGUGAGAGAAAAUGACUGGCAUCCAUUGAUACCACUUUCAUGAUACUUUGGGUCUUAUGGAUUCUGUAGUAUGUAACAGCUCCGUUCCAGAAUCCUUCUGUAACAGAUUCUUAUUACAAAAGGGAAGAUGUUCUUUUUUCACUGAAGGUAUCAAAUGAUUGCUGAGUGCAAUAUAGACAGGAUUUCAGAAUACAUGAUUGGAC